UCUGACAAUCCUUAUCCAUACACCUGUGCACCUUUGAGAAGGGGAGGAUCUCUCCUCCCUUUUUCUUUUUUCACAAACCCCAUAUUCUAAUCUUGAACGUGAAUUGUGCCGAAAGGCCUUUAAUCAUAAAUACAACUUUUAACAACGGAUCUCUUGGCUCUCGCAUCGAUGAAGAACGCAGCGAAUUGCGAUAAGUAAUGUGAAUUGCAGAAUUCAGUGAAUCAUCGAAUCUUUGAACGCACCUUGCACUCUCUGGUAUUCCGGAGAGUACGCCUGUUCGAGUGUCGUGAAACUCUCAAGCUGGAUGGGCUUUUAUUAGCCCGUCUUGGUUUGGAUGUGGACUCUGCUGUGUCACAACGGCUGGUCUUAAAGGCAUUAGCUGAAUCUUGAUGUGGGACUUGGUUCUUACUCGGCGUGAUAAUUAUCUGACCGCUGAGGACAUCUCUUUUGGGGGAUGGCCAGACUCUUUCGGCGAGUGAAGCGGGAUGAGCUCAAAUUUAAAAUCUGGCAGUCUUCGAUUGUCCGAGUUGUAAUCUAGAGAAGCGUUUUCCGUGCUGGACUGUGUACAAGUUUCCUGGAUACGGAACAUCAUAGAGGGUGAGAAUCCCGUCCUUGACACAGACUACCAGUGCUCUGUGAUGCGCUCUCGACGAGUCGAGUUGUUUGGGAUUGCAGCUCAAAAUGGGAGGUAAAUUCCUUCUAAAGCUAAAUAUUGGCGAGAGACCGAUAGCGAACAAGUACCGUGAGGGAAAGAUGAAAAGCACUUUGGAAAGAGAGUUAAACAGUACGUGAAAUUGUUAAAAGGGAAACGCUUGAAGUCAGUCGCGUCUACUUGGACUCAGCCUUCCCUUGUGGUUGGUGCAUUUCCUUGUUGGACGGGCCAGCGUCCAUGUUGUCUGCCGGAAAAGGGGUAAAGGAAUGUGGCUCUUUCGGGAGUGUUAUAGCCUUUGCUCGUAUACGGUGUGCGAUAUGGAGUGGUACAGCAUGCUUCGGUGGUGCUUGUGCUGGCAUAAUGGCUUUAAACGACCCGUCUUGAAACACGGACCAAGGAGUCUAACAUGUCUGCGAGUGUUUGGGUGGAAAACCCGAGCGCGGAAUGAAAGUGAUAGCUGGGAACCCCUUCACUGGGAGGCACCGGCGCCCCGAGCUGACCUUCUGUGACGCAUCGGAGGUAGAGCAUA
rnacentral:sRNA from 1 species